rnacentral:rRNA from 1 species
UGGGGAAUAUUGCACAAUGGGCGCAAGCCUGAUGCAGCCAUGCCGCGUGUAUGAAGAAGGCCUUCGGGUUGUAAAGUACUUUCAGCGGGGAGGAAGGUGUUGAGGUUAAUAACCUCAGCAAUUGACGUUACCCGCAGAAGAAGCACCGGCUAACUCAGUGCCAGCAGCCGCGGUAAUACGGAGGGUGCAAGCGUUAAUCGGAAUUACUGGGCGUAAAGCGCACGCAGGCGGUCUGUCAAGUCGGAUGUGAAAUCCCCGGGCUCAACCUGGGAACUGCAUUCGAAACUGGCAGGCUAGAGUCUUGUAGAGGGGGGUAGAAUUCCAGGUGUAGCGGUGAAAUGCGUAGAGAUCUGGAGGAAUACCGGUGGCGAAGGCGGCCCCCUGGACAAAGACUGACGCUCAGGUGCGAAAGCGUGGGGAGCAAACA